rnacentral:rRNA from 1 species
UUGAGUUUGUAUCUCCUUCAAGAUGAACGCUGGCGGCGUGCUUAACACAUGCAAGUCGAACGGAUAUAUCCCUUUCGAAGCGAUUAGUUUACUAAGAGUGGAGAUGUUGGUAUCUUAGUGGCGGACGGGUGAGUAACGCGUGGGUAACCUGCCUUACACUGGGGGAUAACACUUAGAAAUAGGUGCUAAUACCGCAUAACAGGAGAAGACGCAUGUCUUAUCCUUGAAAACUCCGGUGGUGUAAGAUGGACCCGCGUCUGAUUAUCUGGUUGGCGGGGUAACGGCCCACCAAGGCGACGAUCAGUAGCCGGCCUGAGAGGGUGAACGGCCACAUUGGGACUGAGACACGGCCCAAACUCCUACGGGAGGCAGCAGUGGGGAAUAUUGGACAAUGGGGGGAACCCUGAUCCAGCGACGCCGCGUGAGUGAAGAAGUAUUUCGGUAUGUAAAGCUCUAUCAGCAGGGAAGAAAGAAAUGACGGUACCUGACUAAGAAGCCCCGGCUAACUACGUGCCAACACCCGCGGUAAUACGUAGGGGGGCAAGCGUUAUCCGGAAUUACUGGGUGUAAAGGGCACGUAUACCGCCAGGUAAACCUGAA